AGACCCAGUGAGGGGUUCUGGGCCUCACACAGACCCUGCCAGGGCGGCCACCGGGCGCGCCACGUCGGCCGCAGUUGGGUAUAUAAGCCGGGCCGGCGCGCCGGUGGGCGACAGAGCUGGGCCGUCCGGACAAGAUGGCCGCCUCACUCGUGCUGCUGCUGCUCGUGUCGGUGUGCGCUGCCGAGUUGGGCUUCCAGCCCAAGCGGCAGUACACCUACCUGUACGAAGCAAAGCAGGCCAGCGGUAUCCCCGGUAUCCAGUCGCAAUGGUCCGCUCUGGGAAUGAAAAUGAAGGUCACAGUCCAGGUGCCCACCGCCGGCAACCUCUUCUUCAAGCUGGAGAACGUCCAGCAAGGUGAACUGAAGAACACCUACACACAACAGCCGUGGCGCAAGAGCUUCAGCUUGCCGUACUCUCCAGUCCAGCAGUACCAGCAGGAGCUCAGCAAGGUCUUCAAGGUGGAGCUCAACGGCGGAGUGAUCAGGAAGAUCAUCACCUCUGGAGAGGAGCCUAUCUGGGUGGUCAACAUCAAGAAGUCGAUCGCGCAGAUGUUCCAGCUGGAUAUGCAGAAACACCAAGCCAUCGACGUGCCGAGCAUGGUUCAGCCCAGCGGAUACCAGAGUGGUCAGCAGGCCGACUUCUUCCGCGUUAUGGAGGAGAGCAUCGGAGGCGAGUGUGAGACCCUGUACGAGACGACGCCGGUCUUGCCGCAGGAGCUCAAGGCCGACAUGGUGCAGGAGCUGACUCUUCUCUCCCAGACCUCUCUGCCAGGCAUCAAGGUGCCCGACUUCGACAGCUUCCAUCCGUUCGUCGUUACCAAGACGAAGAACUACCAGAACUGCAAGUCGAGGCCCAACUGGCAGCACAUGACUCCCGGUGCCGUCUCCUGCCACACCGAGGACUGCUACCUGACCGCCUCAAACCGCAGCGCCUCAGCACGCUACGUCCUGGACGGCGACCGCAACAACUUCCAGAUCCAGUACGUGGUGGCCGAGAGUGAGGCACUCAUGUUCCCCUAUGGUCAUGAGACUGAGCAACUGUGGACAGUUACCAACCAGACACUGUUCCUGCAGAAGAACGAAAAGAUGGCCUCCUUCAUCGGGGAGCCACAUCAGGGAGUGACGCACAAUACCCUUGCCUUCCAGUACCCCACCGCUGACGGCAAGGGGCUGAAGACUCCCGACCUCAAGUCGGCGCCACAGCUGAGCACUUACCUCCCGGGCGCACCAGUCAAGCUCAUCCUGGAGAAGAUGCCCCCCACCCAGCUUGUCGGUGUCAUCGUCCAGCUGAUCCAGAAGGUAGACCAGAUGACUCAGAAAGUACCCGAUCCAGUCCAGCAGGAUGUCACAGGCUACAUUCUGGAGAUUGAGCGAGCACUCAGCUGGCUGAGCUAUGAUCAGCUGGGCCAGAUCUACAGCCAACUGAAAACUGAUGGUCAGAAGGGUAUCUACUGGGAUUGUCUGGCUAUGGCUGGCACCAACCCGACUGUGAUGAGGCUCAUUGACGACAUCUCCAGCAAUAAGGUGGACUUGAACCGCAUGACACCUAUUCUGGCCACACUGCCGGUCAACAUAAAGACGCCCACCUACCAACUGAUCCAACAACUCUUCCAGCUAUUCAGGUCACCAAUGAUUCAGUCACACCAGAUGCAGCGAGCGACAAUGGCUUUGUCUCUCUCUAACAUCUUCUACCAGAUCUGCAUCAGCAACACGACCGUGGAGCACAGUUACACGCAGGGACUGUACAAAGAGCACUUCUGCAACAGUCAAACGAAUGCUCUUCUGAAGGAGCAGUUCAUUCCUUUCUUGGAAAGCAUCAUUCAGCAGUCCCAAGAAUCCGAGAGGCUCGCCUUCAUCCAAGCUCUCGCUAACACCGGGGACAAGAGCAUCAUCCCAGUUCUGGAGAGUAUUGUGACAAUGCAAAAGAGCCCGUUGGAAGCCAGCAAGGCCAUUUACGCUUUCUAUCGCGUUGUUGCACAGUACCCAGAGAAGGUGCGCAAGAUCAUGUCGCCGAUCUACCACGACAUCUCUAAGCCUGCCGAGGUUCGCGUUGCUGCAAUUACCAUGGUUCUCGCCACCAACCCUCCCAUCGCCUACUGGCAAAAGAUCGCCACAAGCACCUGGUUUGAGCCCAGCAAUGCUGUUGCUGCCGUCAUCCACAGCACCUACAGCACCAUGGCCAAUGUCACCAUGGCCCACGUUGAGCCGCUGUUCGAGAUGAGCCGGAACGCUCGCAUCACACUUCCUCUUGUGCGUCCUCCCCAGGGUGGAUAUGCCCUCAGCGGAAGCUACAGCUCCCAUAACGGCCAGUUCAUACCUCAGUACCAAGUGGCUGCCAUCUCCCACUGGGCCACCAUUGCGUCCAAAACAUCGGUUAUUCCAAGCGUUCUGUACCUGGAGUUCCAAAACUACGUUAACAGCAUCCUCUACAGCAACCACCGGUGGAGUCUCAACAUGCAGGGUGGCCAGCAAAUUAUCGAUGACAUCAUGGGAGUCGAGUACAAUAGCCAGCAGCGUGCACGUCAGUCACCGCGCGAUCUCCGCGCUGUCUAUCAGAGUCUUGAUAGCUUCAUGCAAUCUAUGAAGGAGAAGCUGCAAGCUCCAGAGAAGUUCCACGCCACCCUGUACGCUCAACUGCUCGGAGCAGUCGACGUCUUCGUGGCCCUCGACGAGAGUAGCUACAGCUCUUGGCUGCUGAAGGUCCGCCAGGGUGGAAGCUGGUCGUCACAGCAGGUGCAGAAAAUCACUUACCUUGAGGAUACCACCGUCACCUUCGCUUCUGAGAUCGGCAUGCCUGUCAUCUAUUCGAAGAAAAUGCCAAUGAUAGCUUCUGUUCGGGGUCAGAUGAGCGUUGAAUGGAAACCGCAGGACGGUCAGUAUCACGUCACCAUGGAUAACGUCCAGCCGUUUGUUGCUGUCACGAAUCUCGUCACUGUCACCACCAUUAACCCCUUCUCGCUGCGUUCGCUUGGCGCUGGCGUUGAGAACAAGCUGCAGCUGUCGCUGCCUAUGUCAUUCGAGGCAACCCUGGACACUCGGGCGAAGGCUAUUCAGCUCGAGAUUCAGCCUGUUCAGCAGCAGUCGUCGACCCAGGUCAAGGUUGCCCACAUUCGUACCUUCCCCUUCACCACUGCAGUAGAGGUCAACAAGUACGAGAGCCUCGUCACAUCAUCUGACACCAAGGAAAUCACUUCAUCUCACCCCACUGAGUGGAAGCUGCCAUUCGGCAAGGACGUUGGAGUCGAGGCCUACCUGCGACUGGUUUCUGACAGCCCUGUCAUGAGCUUUGGCACAUUCUGGGCCGAGGCGGCAAAGCGAGGCCGUACUGGACUUACGAGCUACUGGUUCAUGAUGGAGUCGCUGCGCUCACGACACUACGAUGUUGUGAUCGACACUGCUCGGUCUACCUUCCAGAAACUACAGGCAACGUUUGCUCUUGUGUCGCCGGAUGGUCAGUCACCUGAAAUGCGUCGCCCGAUCAUCACCAGCCAGGAACACACUAGGCAGAUUCAGUCUAACAUCCAGCAGACGCGGCAGAUGCUGCAGAAUCAGCAGAUGCAGAGUCCGCAGAUGUCCCAGCAGCAGAGGCAAGUGAUGAGCGUCAAGUACGGAUAUUCUGCGACGGCCACCAUCUCGCAGAAGAAUGGCUCUCCGCUGCAAUACUCUUCGAAGAUUGCUCUGCUCACUGAUCCCAACUGGUACACUCAGAAACUUGCACUCAAGGCAAACUCUCCCAACAGCGAGACAUGCCUCGACGCCGAGCUUGCUUUCCCGACUCUCAGCGACAUCCGUGAUGAGCUGCUGAGGACGGAGAUCAAGGCACCGGUAUGGGCCAAGCUCGGCUACGGACGCAGCUGCCAGGAACAUUCUCUGAAGAUGCAGGGCUAUGUGCGUCGUGACGAGCUCGCCAAGGAGUAUGCCACGUCCUGCCCGGAGGCUCAACGCUGCAGUCAGCACGAGAGGCAGGGAAAUCCCAACUCUGCCGACUGCCGCCUUGCCAAGGACCAUGCUGCACUGGCCAACUACUACGACCUGGAGUUCACUGGGACCGCUGUGACGCAGGACGUGCUGCAGGCGUGCUACAAUGUAGAAAGCUUCUUCAAGUACGUGCUCUGGCCGUACAUGAACGACAACAGAUUCUCUCAGAACCCAAGCGGCAAGGUCAAUGUCAAGAUGCAGCUAAAACCGUCCACCAAUUCUCUCAGCAUUCAAGUCCUGAAGCCUUACGCGACCACUAGCUUUGACAAAGUGCAGCUUCCGUUCAACAUGCUGCAGGAGCCGUGGCUUCUGACCAUGCGCAAGUCGAUCUCGAAGAAGAUCGUCGACAGCCUCUAUGGUGUUGACAAGACGGUCUGCCUGGUCGACCGGCUGGUAGUGAAGACCUACGACAAUGUGACGCUGGCACGCCACCCGUCCGAAUGCUGGACCCUGCUGACUGCGGACAGCAGCCGCAUUCGCAACAUCGCUGUGUUCGAAAAGCAGUCGACCAUCCGCGUCGUGAUGGCGGACCGGGUUGCCGAGUUCGACCUCGGCAGCCUGAGUCACUUCAAGGUGGACGGCCAGCCCCAGAAUAUCGAUGCUCGCACACCUGUCACUCUGCGUGACGACGCCACCCGUAAGACCGUCCUCCUGGUCCAGAUGCUGUCCCCCGACACCAUCAAGGUGGUGGCUCCGGAGCAUUACGUCAAGCUGAUCAUCUCGAAGGAAGGAGUGCAGAUCCACGCCUCCCUGCUGGCCUACCGCAACCGCAUGCGCGGAGUGUGCGGCGACUUCGAUGGCGAAGAGCAGAGCGACCUGGUGGGGCCCAGCGGCUGCAUCUACAAGACUGGCCAGGAGUUCUACGACGCGUACCGGGUGGCUCUGGACGGCUCCUCCUCCCAGUGCCAGUGGCGGGAGCCCUCUCGCUGCAUCCGCCGACCGGCUCAGGCACAGCCGUCUUACCAGUCGAUGCGGUUGCAGCAACCCUAUCGUCAAAUGCGUGGCCGCUACUAAUGCGUCGUUGCAGGACUUAUCCAGCCUGUGAGCCCCUCAUUUGAUUACUGAUUGUAACGGACAACAGACCCAUGCGCGAACUUUGAGCUCCCAUCGUGACCUACGUGUACAAAUGAUCAAUUGUAUUUGUCUGUUUGGUGAUGCAAUUAAAUCACGCAUCACAUGUGGACGACUGUAUGUAGUUAUAAAUAAAGCAUGACACAUAGCA
rnacentral:misc_RNA from 1 species